UACGUAGGUGGCAAGCGUUGUCCGGAAUUACUGGGUGUAAAGGGCGUGUAGGCGGGGAUGCAAGUCAGAUGUGAAAUUCCGGGGCUCAACUCCGGAGCUGCAUCUGAAACUGUAUCUCUUGAGUGUUGGAGAGGAAAGUGGAAUUCCUAGUGUAGCGGUGAAAUGCGUAGAGAUUAGGAGGAACACCAGUGGCGAAGGCGGCUUUCUGGACAAUAACUGACGCUGAGGCGCGAAAGCGUGGGGAGCAAACAGGAUUAGAUA
rnacentral:rRNA from 1 species